rnacentral:misc_RNA from 1 species
AAGGAUCAUUCAUAAUAAGUGUUUUAUGGCACUUUUUAAAUCCAUAUCCACCUUGUGUGCAAUGUCAGUCGUUCUCUUUUUUUGAGAGCGACCAAACAUCAACUUAUUCUUUAACUCUUUGUCUGAAAAAUAUUAUGAAUAAAAUAAUUCAAAAUACAACUUUCAACAACGGAUCUCUUGGCUCUC